rnacentral:rRNA from 1 species
CGAACGGGUGAGUAACACGUGGGCAAUCUGCCCUGCACUCUGGGACAAGCCCUGGAAACGGGGUCUAAUACCGGAUACUGAUCGCCUUGGGCAUCCUUGGUGAUCGAAAGCUCCGGCGGUGCAGGAUGAGCCCGCGGCCUAUCAGCUUGUUGGUGAGGUAAUGGCUCACCAAGGCGACGACGGGUAGCCGGCCUGAGAGGGCGACCGGCCACACUGGGACUGAGACACGGCCCAGACUCCUACGGGAGGCAGCAGUGGGGAAUAUUGCACAAUGGGCGAAAGCCUGAUGCAGCGACGCCGCGUGAGGGAUGACGGCCUUCGGGUUGUAAACCUCUUUCAGCAGGGAAGAAGCGAAAGUGACGGUACCUGCAGAAGAAGCGCCGGCUAACUACGUGCCAGCAGCCGCGGUAAUACGUAGGGCGCGAGCGUUGUCCGGAAUUAUUGGGCGUAAAGAGCUCGUAGGCGGCUUGUCGCGUCGGUUGUGAAAGCCCGGGGCUUAACCCCGGGUCUGCAGUCGAUACGGGCAGGCUAGAGUUCGGUAGGGGAGAUCGGAAUUCCUGGUGUAGCGGUGAAAUGCGCAGAUAUCAGGAGGAACACCGGUGGCGAAGGCGGAUCUCUGGGCCGAUACUGACGCUGAGGAGCGAAAGCGUGGGGAGCGAACAGGAUUAGAUACCCUGGUAGUCCACGCCGU